rnacentral:rRNA from 1 species
CCUUAUACAUGCAAGUCGAACGAACUCUGGUAUUGAUUGGUGCUUGCAUCAUGAUUUACAUUUGAGUGAGUGGCGAACUGGUGAGUAACACGUGGGAAACCUGCCCAGAAGCGGGGGAUAACACCUGGAAACAGAUGCUAAUACCGCAUAACAACUUGGACCGCAUGGUCCGAGCUUGAAAGAUGGCUUCGGCUAUCACUUUUGGAUGGUCCCGCGGCGUAUUAGCUAGAUGGUGGGGUAACGGCUCACCAUGGCAAUGAUACGUAGCCGACCUGAGAGGGUAAUCGGCCACAUUGGGACUGAGACACGGCCCAAACUCCUACGGGAGGCAGCAGUAGGGAAUCUUCCACAAUGGACGAAAGUCUGAUGGAGCAACGCCGCGUGAGUGAAGAAGGGUUUCGGCUCGUAAAACUCUGUUGUUAAAGAAGAACAUAUCUGAGAGUAACUGUUCAGGUAUUGACGGUAUUUAACCAGAAAGCCACGGCUAACUACGUGCCAGCAGCCGCGGUAAUACGUAGGUGGCAAGCGUUGUCCGGAUUUAUUGGGCGUAAAGCGAGCGCAGGCGGUUUUUUAAGUCUGAUGUGAAAGCCUUCGGCUCAACCGAAGAAGUGCAUCGGAAACUGGGAAACUUGAGUGCAGAAGAGGACAGUGGAACUCCAUGUGUAGCGGUGAAAUGCGUAGAUAUAUGGAAGAACACCAGUGGCGAAGGCGGCUGUCUGGUCUGUAACUGACGCUGAGGCUCGAAAGUAUGGGUAGCAAACAGGAUUAGAUACCCUGGUAGUCCAUACCGUAAACGAUGAAUGCUAAGUGUUGGAGGGUUUCCGCCCUUCAGUGCUGCAGCUAACGCAUUAAGCAUUCCGCCUGGGGAGUACGGCCGCAAGGCUGAAACUCAAAGGAAUUGACGGGGGCCCGCACAAGCGGUGGAGCAUGUGGUUUAAUUCGAAGCUACGCGAAGAACCUUACCAGGUCUUGACAUACUAUGCAAAUCUAAGAGAUUAGACGUUCCCUUCGGGGACAUGGAUACAGGUGGUGCAUGGUUGUCGUCAGCUCGUGUCGUGAGAUGUUGGGUUAAGUCCCGCAACGAGCGCAACCCUUAUUAUCAGUUGCCAGCAUUAAGUUGGGCACUCUGGUGAGACUGCCGGUGACAAACCGGAGGAAGGUGGGGAUGACGUCAAAUCAUCAUGCCCCUUAUGACCUGGGCUACACACGUGCUACAAUGGAUGGUACAACGAGUUGCGAACUCGCGAGAGUAAGCUAAUCUCUUAAAGCCAUUCUCAGUUCGGAUUGUAGGCUGCAACUCGCCUACAUGAAGUCGGAAUCGCUAGUAAUCGCGGAUCAGCAUGCCGCGGUGAAUACGUUCCCGGGCCUUGUACACACCGCCCGUCACACCAUGAGAGUUUGUAACACCCAAAGUCGGUGGGGUAACCUUUUAGGAACCAGCCGCCUAAG